rnacentral:rRNA from 1 species
GAUGAACGCUGGCGGCGUGCCUAAUACAUGCAAGUCGAGCGAACGGACGAGGAGCUUGCUUCUCUGACGUUAGCGGCGGGCGGGUGAGUAACACGUGUAUAACCUACCUAUAAGACUGGGAUAACUUCGGGAAACCGUAGCUAAUACCGGAUAAUAUUUUGAACCGUAUGGUUCAAAAGUAAAAGUCGGUCUUGCGGUCACUUAUAGAUGGUUCUCCGCUUGAUUGGCUGGUUGGUACGGUAAAGGCCUACCAAGGCAAGUAGGCAUAGCCGAAGUCUGUGGCUGGUAGGCCCCCCUGGAAGUUGAACACCGACCAUACGCCUGCGAGACGCACCAGUCGGGUACCUUCCGCAAUGGGCGGAAGCCUGACGGAACAACGCCGAGUGAGUUAUGACGGCCCCCCGAUCGUAAAACUCGGUUACGGGGGGAGAACAUAUUUGUAAUUUGCUGUGCACAUCGUGACGGUACUUAAUCAGAAAGCACCGGCUAACUACGUG